UUUGUCUUCUUUCUCUUGCCCAGCCCUGUUUUGGUUUUCUGUUAGUUCCUUUUAUUUUUUUUUUUUUCUGCUUCCCCUUCCUCUGAGGACCUGGUCCCUUCCCUCCCACUGCUAACCAGGGCUGUGGAAACUCCACCCUCUGUGCUGACCCACACAGUCACGAAGACCACAGGAAAGGAGACUUGAUGUGUGAUAGAGACCUCUUCUUCCUGAAUUGGGCCUUCAUGCACAGACACUAAUUAGAUCGUUAAUUUUUCAAUGAAGACAUUGGGAAGGACAGAAAGAGAAGACCAGCACAUCUGCCCGGCCCAGACCAACUCCCCACCACCACACGCACACCAUCUGGUUGGUGCCAGGCUUAGGUGCUGUUCUCCAGGUGCUGGAAAGGAACAUGGUGCCCCUGCCUCUUCUGGUCCAGGGGGGCCAAUACUUCACCUGUUGAUGUUCCCAGAUGAAGCCUGAAGCUGCUACAACUCAUAAUCUGGUCUCUAUCAGGCCCACCUCUGCUCUCUGGUAUCCUGGAGUCCUCUGAGAGGAAUUCUGGGAACUGCUGAGACUGGCUGGUGGCAGCCAUCCAACUCCCAUAUGGAGAUGCAGGCUGUGUCCUCGGCAGCUGACGACAUCCCUGAGGACAUCAGCCACCAGCAGCGGGACUACGUCCUCUGGCAGCAACAGAAGUUGGCCAGGGCUGGCUGGGCUCCUGCCUUCCCCGGCCAGGACAUCAGGAGAAGUGACCGUGGCGAGCACCCUGCGUACCCGCAGCUGCCCAACCUGUGACUGCUGGCCCGGGGCUCCACGCAGAGGCCUACCUCUUGCUACAGGGACAAAGACUUUCUCCUUUUACUUUCUUCACCUGGAGGUCCUCAUGAAGGAGGAUUACUAAAAUGGCCACAUUUAAGCUAACAGAUGGCUUAUUCUUAUGCUUGCCCUUAAAACGGUCAACUGACCUGACUGACCAGUUGCUACUCAUAGCUCCAGGCCCAUUGUUAAAAUAAAACUAUUAAUUUUACUGUUUCUGCUUUAUUCCAGUAAUCGAAAGUAAUAAUCAUACUUGGUUUCUGAUUUGUUCUCCAGGGAGAAGGUCACAGAACUGUAACCUUACAAAAUUGGCUAAGUACCAAGAAGACCACGCCUUGGGCGCUUACGAGAUAAAGAGAUGGAGAAAGUGACAAACCCUGGUUUCUACAGAAUUGAUCACCUGGAGGCAUCAUGACGCCACUCUAAGUUUUAUGAUGAAAAAAAUGAUUCUAUUGAUUAAUUACUGUUUGAGCUAUGGCAAUAUAAUCACCCUGCCCCAUCCCCAAGGUGGGCUCACAGUUUUGAAGGCACUAGCCUGCUCUGAGUCCCCUUUGCCCGGCAAAGUAACAAAGCUAUGUCUUUUCUUCUGAGCUCCAA